UACAGAGGUCCCAAGCGUUGUUCGGAUUCACUGGGCGUAAAGGGUGCGUAGGUGGUGAAGUAAGUCGGAUGUGAAAUCUCGGAGCUCAACUCCGAAACUGCAUUGGAAACUACUUUGCUCGAGGGUUGGAGGGGGGACUGGAAUUCUCGGUGUAGCAGUGAAAUGCGUAGAUACCGAGAGGAACACCAGUGGCGAAGGCGAGUCCCUGGACAACUCCUGACACUGAGGCACGAAAGCUAGGGGAGCAAACAGG
rnacentral:rRNA from 1 species